AAAUUGGCGGGCGGACUACACAUGCAGUCGAGCGGAUGAAGGGAGCUUGCUCCUGGAUUCAGCGGCGGACGGGUGAGUAAUGCCUAGGAAUCUGCCUGGUAGUGGGGGAUAACGUCCGGAAACGGGCGCUAAUACCGCAUACGUCCUGAGGGAGAAAGUGGGGGAUCUUCGGACCUCACGCUAUCAGAUGAGCCUAGGUCGGAUUAGCUAGUUGGUGGGGUAAAGGCCUACCAAGGCGACGAUCCGUAACUGGUCUGAGAGGAUGAUCAGUCACACUGGAACUGAGACACGGUCCAGACUCCUACGGGAGGCAGCAGUGGGGAAUAUUGGACAAUGGGCGAAAGCCUGAUCCAGCCAUGCCGCGUGUGUGAAGAAGGUCUUCGGAUUGUAAAGCACUUUAAGUUGGGAGGAAGGGCAGUAAGUUAAUACCUUGCUGUUUUGACGUUACCAACAGAAUAAGCACCGGCUAACUUCGUGCCAGCAGC
rnacentral:rRNA from 1 species